CCGGCCGUUAAGUGCCGCUGCGCCAAUGGUACUGCGUCUCAAGACGUGGGAGAGUAGGGCACCGCCAAAC
rnacentral:rRNA from 1 species